UACGUAGGGGGCAAGCGUUGUCCGGAAUCAUUGGGCGUAAAGAGCGUGUAGGCGGCCAGGUAGGUCUGCUGUGAAAACUCGAGGCUCAACCUCGAGCUGUCGGCGGAAACCAUCUGGCUAGAGUCCGGAAGAGGAGAGUGGAAUUCCUGGUGUAGCGGUGAAAUGCGCAGAUAUCAGGAAGAACACCCGUGGCGAAGGCGGCUCUCUGGGACGGUACUGACGCUGAGACGCGAAAGCGUGGGGAGCGAACAGG
rnacentral:rRNA from 1 species